UGUGCAUGAGUCAACCUUAUGAGUCGACCUCUGUUGCUGUGCACGUCAAAAUUACAGAACAAUCAUUUUUUAUUCUGUGCCACAGAAGUCGACCCCAUGAGUCGACUCAUGUGUAUAAGUCGACCUUAUGAGUCGACUCCUGUGAUGGAAAAACUCUGUAAUGGCUAGUUUUUUAGCUCAUUUUGACAUAUUUAAUGCUUAUUUAAUAAUCUCCAACGGCUCUAAAACUAUCUAGAUCACUCUCC
rnacentral:lncRNA from 1 species